rnacentral:rRNA from 1 species
UACGUAGGGGGCAAGCGUUGUCCGGAUUUAUUGGGCGUAAAGAGCUCGUAGGCGGUUUGUUGCGUCGGCUGUGAAAUCCCGAGGCUCAACCUCGGGUCUGCAGUCGAUACGAGCAAACUAGAGUGUUGCAGGGGAGACUGGAAUUCCUGGUGUAGCGGUGAAAUGCGCAGAUAUCAGGAGGAACACCGGUGGCGAAGGCGGGUCUCUGGGCAACAACUGACGCUGGAGGAGCGAAAGCCGUGGGGAGCGAACAGG